AGUUAGUGGCAUUCCAUCUGGUCUCAUUCAGUUGGUGAGAAGAGUCUUAUGGCUACCCCUAGAGAGAAAAUAGAAGAUAAAGUCCCUGACUGGACAUCUCCUCCCAGCAACAACUCCACACUAUGCAAAGCAGAAUACAAACUUUCAGUGGAUUGACAUUCAUCUCUACCAAAGAGCUCUUUUCUAAUUCACAUGAAGGUGAUUUCCUCCUUGCUAAAGCCCUGGAAAUCUAAAUUGGAAAGAAAGUUAGAAAUCUACUGUGACAUGCUACAAAUGCAGAUGUGCCACAAACACCACAGAAUGGUCAUCCAGCCAGUGCCAGAUCAUCAUGAGAAAGUUUUGUUAGAAAAGUUUUCCUUUCAUAGUCCCAGGUGAGCCAUCUGUUGCAACCCAGGAUCCAACCCCCAGUGUGACUGUAUUUGGAGACAGAGCCUUUAUGAAGGUAAUUAAAGUUAAAAGAGGUCACGGGGUGGAGCCCUGAUCCAAUAGAUUUAGCGUCCUUGUAAGAAGAGACACGAAAGAGCAAGCUCUCUCUCCAUCUUGUGAGGACACAGUGAGAAGGUGGCCAUCUGCAAACCAGAAGGCCAUGCAGCUGAUGAAGUUUGCUAACCUUGACUCGCCCAGUUCCCUGGAAGUGUGAAUCACUUUUAAAAGAAUUGUAGAUUUCCGUUUCCCUUAGGGGAUUAUAGCUAAAGCAUUGUCGGCAUACAGACUGUGUAUUCUUUUAGCAACCUUCUAUCAAGCCUGCAAAACUUGGAAAAAUGUGGAGAUAAUGCUGCCUCCGAGGAGGGAAUGCUGGAUCUAACACUAUUUUUGUUUGUUGUCUGUCUACUGUUCCUCUGAGGAAGGCAUGAAAUUAAGGAUCCCAUUGGAUAGAUCUUAUUAUGAUUCAUCUGGAAAGAGCCCUAGGAUUUUAAUGUCUGCCCGUUGCCCUCCCUGUUGUGUGAAAAAUGGUGGGAGCUAAUGAGCCCUUGAAUGACUCUGGCCAUCUCAGAACACUGAUGUAUUGGUUGUCUAAGAGCCUUCUUCCUACGUGUAGCAAUAAUGAAGCUACAUAAAUGGAAAGUCCUGAAACUUCGAAAUUCUUUUUCUGGAGAAGUAGCUUCACACAGCACAUUUAAAGCACAACUGAAUUUUUCUUUUCAUGGCUGCUUUUUUAACAUGGAAAAUUUAUAUUUUCUGUAAUACUGAUUCCUAAUUAAUAUCUUAGCACCAAGUUCAGCAUAUUAAAGGCAGGACUGGUAUAUAAA
rnacentral:lncRNA from 1 species